GUCCCCUUCGGGGGCAGAGUGACAGGUGGUGCAUGGUUGUCGUCAGCUCGUGUCGUGAGAUGUUGGGUUAAGUCCCGCAACGAGCGCAACCCUUGAUCUUAGUUGCCAGCAUUCAGUUGGGCACUCUAAGGUGACUGCCGGUGACAAACCGGAGGAAGGUGGGGAUGACGUCAAAUCAUCAUGCCCCUUAUGACCUGGGCUACACACGUGCUACAAUGGACAGAACAAAGGGCAGCGAAACCGCGAGGUUAAGCCAAUCCCACAAAUCUGUUCUCAGUUCGGAUCGCAGUCUGCAACUCGACUGCGUGAAGCUGGAAUCGCUAGUAAUCGCGGAUCAGCAUGCCGCGGUGAAUACGUUCCCGGG
rnacentral:rRNA from 1 species